rnacentral:lncRNA from 1 species
GUGGCUGUGCAGGAGCCAAAAAAUUGAUUUCAGGAUCAGACACCUUACUCAAGGAGUGAGGCAUCUUCUCUGGCAGAGAGAAAAUGGGACUUGCAUUGAAUUUGGCCUAAAGACACCACACAUGGCUGUCGUCUCUGGACGUCACUGAGCCCGGGUGCUGCCGUGAAGGAUGGAGAGCAGCCUUCCUGGCCUGGACUGUGUUCCCCGCCCACCUGUGCAGGCGCCAGACAGUGGAGUCAGGCUGCAGCUCCUGGCUCCAGGAGAGGAGAGGUUUCUGGUUAAUGGACACAGGGAAAUAAUAUGUGAG